AACGAACGCUGGCGGCAGGCUUAACACAUGCAAGUCGAACGGUUGUAGCAAUACAGCAGUGGCAGACGGGUGAGUAACACGUGGGAACCUUCCUAGAGGUACGGAACAACGCAGGGAAACUUGCGCUAAUACCGUAUACGCUCGAGAGAGGAAAGAUUUAUCGCCUUUAGACGGGCCCGCGUCGGAUUAGCUAGUUGGUGAGGUAACGGCUCACCAAGGCGACGAUCCGUAGCUGAUCUGAGAGGAUGAUCAGCAACACUGGGACUGAGACACGGCCCAGACUCCUACGGGAGGCAGCAGUGGGGAAUCUUGGACAAUGGGCGCAAGCCUGAUCCAGCCAUACCGCGUGAGUGAAGAAGGCCUUCGGGUUGUAAAGCUCUUUUGUCAGGGACGAUAAUGACGGUACCUGAAGAAUAAGCCCCGGCAAACUUCGUGCCAGCAGCCGCCGUAA
rnacentral:rRNA from 1 species